CAAACACUCUGUGAGGUGAGUGGGGCUGAGAGACUUCAGAGAAGUGUGACUAGCCCAAGGUCACCCAGCAGCUGCAUGUGGAGGAGCGGAGAUGCGAACCUGGUUCACCAGAUUACGAGACUACCACUCUUAACCACUACACCACACUGGCUCUCGUAUCAGAAGCAAUCGUAUCAUAAGGUAUGACUGUAUUUGCUCCAUAGGCCAGACUAAGUCUCCAAUGAGUUCCCAUUUAAGUAUGGAGGGAGCUACACCCCAGGAGAGGAGUUUUGAUUUUACACGCCAGGCAUGUUUCCGAAUGAGACAGACCAUAAUGUUUGGGGCCAAAGCAGACCCUCCAACAUGUUGAGGCUGAAACUCAGGAUGCAUAUAUUCCUGCCCAUGCUUCUGCAUAAAUCACAUGCCCCACACAUGCCAUUUUGGGUUCCACACUGUCACACAUUUUGGGGCACUGCGCUGAGAGCACAGCACCCCAAAAUGGGAUGUCCCAAUUUAAUCGGGGCAGUCGAAGGGUAUGCCAGAGCUGAAAGACAGUAACUCUGGUGAGAUUCAAGCCAGUCUUGCCAGCUCUCAUUUUGCUUACUACUCUGGUACACCAUAAACCCUUAGGAAAGGGCAGCCCAGAACAUUUUGCUGCCUGAGGCAAAGGACCAAAUAUGGCCCUCCCCUUUCUAUGGGCAGAAGCUGACCAGACAGGCAGUUGAAUCUCACUUACACCCAGUGUUUUUUUCGGGGGGGGGGGGGACGGGGACACAGGGGUACGCAUACCCCUAAGCAUUUUGUGAAUCUGAUGGGAGAAAAAACUUAAAAAAUUAAAAAUUUUAGUUUCUUCUCUAGCACGGUGAAUCAUCAGUUCCGUUGCUACCCCCGAUAGCGACCUCUUUUCCUGUCAUGGUGUUUCCUGAGUCUCAGACAGAAUGAGAGUUCCCCUAAACAUUUUUUAAGGAGAAAAAACACUGCCUGAGGAAAGUAGACAUGCUUAGGGAAGACUAGAAAGGCUGUACUGGCUCACUCUGUGUAAUGGUUGGGCUGGCCGCAUCUGAGGAGAUGCUACUGACUUCAAAAGAACUCAAGGACAAUAAUUUAGAUAAAAAUGCAACACACAAAAUUCAUUUGCUGUGAAUUUCACAAAGCCUUCUCCCACCCCCACUCCCCGGCCUGAACUUUUUCUUCAUCAUCUGAGCACUACCAAGGAAAAGGCCAAAAAAAUUUCAGGGUACACUGCAAAGCCUGAACUGCAGGGGAAGAAAAAAUAUUCUCUAAACUCCAAAGCGUGAAGGAAAACAACAUCCACCGAAUUUCCUCAAGUCUGACAUUUGUGGAAUGUCACGCUGGGACGUAGGUGGAGGACAUAUUGAAAGCCUUCUGCACUUUGAACAAUCUGUGCAGUUUCUGGAAGUGGCUGUGUGGGUUGGUGUUUUUUAAGAGAGUGGAGAAAUAUUCCUCAGAGUGCGGAGGGACUAGAGAGGGCCAAAGAUUACCAACGACACAUGAUAUUUUAUUCUAGCUAUGUGGUCUUUACACCAGGGGUGAGGAGGAUAACAGGGUCUACUUUGGCACUAUUGAUUUUUCUCUCUUUCUUUCUAGAUCCCUGAGGUCCACCAAGCAAACUUAGGUGCAAAACAGUUGGCUUGGCUGGGUGGCAUAGAUGUCAACUUUUCCUUUUUCUUUUGAGGAAUCCUAUUCGGAAUAAGGGAAUUUCCCUUAAAAAAAGGGAAAUGUUGACAGCUAUGCUGGGUGGACAUAUUCUAAGGAUUAAGGAACUGGAUGCUUUUGAGCUCAAGAAUUUGUGAGCAGUAGCAGAAUCAAGUUCAUAAAUCCUUUCAAACAAAAUACAGAACUGCCCCACCCCCCCGUAUUCUUUUUCGGCUACCUAAUUUAAAUGAGAAGAAAGCUUUUUCGUCUUUGCUGCAGUUAAAUAAUAGAGAUUUUGAUUAUUUACUGCAGGCAUAGGCAAACUCCAGCCCUCCAGAUGUUUUGAGACUACAAAUCCCAUCAUCCCUGACCACUGGUCCUGUUAGCUGCGGUUGAUGGGAAUUGUAGUUCCAAACAUCUGGAGGGCCAGAGUUUGCCUAUGCCUGAUUUACUGCAAUACACUCAAAGAUCAACUAGAAGACUCAAAGCAACUUUCUGACUACCUUUCUUUUAUGCUAUACUUUUAAAUGGAGAAGGCCAGGAUUAGUCAUGCCCACAGAAUGGAAGAUGGCUGGAUCCCUAAGGUUGUGUUCUACAGGAAGCUGGCAUCAGGCAGUGGGCUCACUGGCAGACCAACUCGGCGUCUGCAAAUGUGACCUGAAGGAUGGCAAUAUUAAACCCACCAUGUGGGAAACCCUUUCAGACAACCACAGUGAGGCACCAGUGGCGAGGGCAAUUGAGGGAACCCACAUUGUGCGCAUGAUGUCAGGACUUCGGGAGGUAGCGGGGUCAGAACCGAACAUGGCAGCCGUGUGGCUCCAAUGGCUGGCAGCUCCUCCUCCUCCUCAUAAAUAAAUACAUAAAUAAAUUUAUACCCCACCCAUCUGGUUGGGUUUCCCCAGCCACUCUGGGCGGCUCCCAACAGAAUAUGAGAAACACAAUAAAACAUCAAACAUUAAAAACUUCCCGAAACAGGGCUGCCUUCAGAUAUGUCUUCUAAAAGUCAGAUAGUUGUUUAUUUCCUUGACAUCUCAUGGGAGGGCAUGCCACAGGGCGGGCGCCACUACCGAGAAGGCCCUCUGCCUGGUUGCCUGUAACCUCACUUCUCACAGGGAGGGAACCGCCAGAAGGCCCACGGAGCUGGACCUCAGUGUCCGGGCAGAACAAUGGGUGUGGAGACGCUCUUUCAGGUGCCGCCACUGGUGGCAGGAGGUGGAGGAGAAGGAGCCGGCCACUGGAGUUGUGCCGUGGUGGGCCCCACACUUCACCUCUGCAUUUUGCGGACAUUGAGGGGGGCACGGUCUCUAGACCAAAAAUAUAGGACGGGGCAAAAGGGCUUGGCACCCCUGACCUGGAGACAGAUAGUCAGGUUGUGUAUCCACAGCAGUGAUUGGAGGGAGAAUGACAGCUGGGAGGAGCACUGAGAAAAGAAAUUGUGUAUCUGCGGCAGCACAACUGGACGCCUUCAUCUGCCCCGGCUGCAACAAAACAUGUCUUUCCUGUAGCGAUCUCUACAGCCGCAGCAGGUGCUGUAACUCUCCAAUGGUUUGACUUCAUCCCCGAAGGCACACUCUUCCAUUGUCUCCCAAGAAAGAUGGAUGCUAACAACUAAUAGAGAACAACAAGUCUGGAAAAUGAUAUAUAAUGAACAGAAAAAAAUGUUGAAAGUGACUUUUCCUAAGAAACCAAAAGCUUUUCUUUUAGGCACUAUAGGGUCAGAGAUCCCGAACGACCAGACGAAACCAUUUAUGUAUGCUGCCAUGGCUGUGCAGAGUCUCUUAGCCCAGAAAUUGAAAGAUGGUACAACUCCGACAGAAAAAGAGUGGCAGACAAAAUUGAUGAACAACGCCGAAAUGGCAAAACUUACAGGAGGAAUUAGAAACCAGGAAGAGGAGAAUGGGGAAAGUUUAUAAUUUGUUUGAAAAGCUAUUGUGAACAAUUACAUACAUUGGUAGGAUUGGCAGAAAACUUGUAGCAAAAAUUUGAACUAUGGAUCGACAAAGGAUUUAUAAAAAUAGAGUUAUGACAGAGAUGCAGAGGGGGAAAUCAUCACAUUAAGAUCCACAAGGGGGGGGGAGUCAGAAGGGAUUAUAUGUUCGUGUAUUUAAUUCAUUUGUUUAUGUAAAAUUGAAAAUGCAAAAAUAAAAUUUAUUUUU